rnacentral:lncRNA from 1 species
CGGAAGAUACACGAAUUAGUACUCAAACCUGUCUAAUUAUAUCAGACAUCAUUUUUAUAAUCUAAAUGUUUGUUAGAUACCUUUUCUUUUAUCUUACAUUUCAUUUUUCUUUCCUUGCUUGUACACAAGGUUUUAAAAACCAUGGCGUGGCCUAUAACGGUCAUAGGCCAAUUGAUGCCGGACAGCAGGGAAAGAAAGAAAGAGAGAAGAAAGAGAGAGGAGAAAUAGGGAAGAAGGAGAGAGGAGGGAGGAGGAAGAAGAAUUAGGCUUCGCACCUAGCCCCGCUCAGGUUUCACACGCUAGGGCUAAAGAAAGAAAUUCAAAAUCAAUUUUCAUUCAUGGCAUACCCUAAACAAUGUACAUUCCAACAUAUUUAUAAGACCCAAAAAAUGCAAAAGACCUAUAAAAAGAAACUAGUCUCACAAAAGACCCUCAAAAUAACAAAAUACCAAAAUAAGCCCUAAAGGUUGUCCAAUAACAAUAUACCCUAAUAAGUCCAAAUAAAAUAAAAUCACUCCAAAACUGGCUGAACCAUCCCCCUGCAGCGGUUGUAGACCCGAGUGACUGGCGGUCUAGCACUGGCGUCCGCACCACCAAUACAACAUGUAUUGCAGUAUGGGUCCAUACGACCUAAUGGUUUGGCCUGCACAAGAGAGUACAUGUAUCCAUAUGGGUCAAUAUGGGGUUGACUUAGACUGGUAGGGAUGCUAUGUACUAGUGACAUACCAUGUAUUUUAAAUCUUUUCUUGUCUUCUCCAUUCUUUCUUUGUUAUUGUAGCUUGGAAUUUGCUCAAUCACAAAUUCUAAUCAUAGGUCAUUUGUACUAUGGUUCUGUCGUAAUGUAUCAAAUAAAUGUUAGGGAAAAAUACUUUUUGCUAA